UGAAAUACUCGUAGAUGGUGAA
rnacentral:siRNA from 1 species